UACGGAGGGUGCAAGCGUUAUCCGGAUUCACUGGGUUUAAAGGGUGCGUAGGCGGCUUAAUAAGUCAUUGGUGAAAGCUCGCAGCUCAACUGCGAAACUGCCAUUGAAACUGUUUAGCUUGAAUGUGGUUGAAGUGGGCGGAAUACAACAUGUAGCGGUGAAAUGCUUAGAUAUGUUUUAGAACACCGAUUGCGAAGGCAGCUCACUAAGCCAAUAUUGACGCUGAGGCACGAAAGCGUGGGGAGCGAACGGG
rnacentral:rRNA from 1 species